rnacentral:rRNA from 1 species
UACAGAGGUCCCAAGCGUUGUUCGGAUUCACUGGGCGUAAAGGGUGCGUAGGUGGCCAGGUAAGCUCGGUGUGAAAGCUCGGAGCUUAACUUCGAAAUGUCAUUGAAUACUAUCUGGCUAGAGGGUCGGAGGGGAGACUGGAAUUCUCGGUGUAGCAGUGAAAUGCGUAGAUAUCGAGAGGAACACCAGUGGCGAAGGCGAGUCUCUGGACGACACCUGACACUGAGGCACGAAAGCUAGGGGAGCAAACAGG